rnacentral:lncRNA from 1 species
UGGCUACAAUCUCUGUCUCGUGUCUCUAACGUUUCCCUUCUACACCAAGGUGGAGCAGGAGGAAGUGGAUGGGUCAAACAAGGCUGGAACCAGGUACUUCCUCCCGUUGGCCCCGUUCGCGUUGUAGCUCGCCCCGGUGGUCGAGUCCACCAACAAAUCCCCGGGAUAUCCCGGAUACGCCCCCUUGGCAUAAACCCCCGGGCACGCCGUCGCAACCUCUAACGGCGCCUCCUUCGGCCCCUGGUAGAAUCCGUUGUUGAACGGGUUGGUCACCGUCCCGGCCAUCAUGCUCGCCAAGUUGAUCACCAUGCCGUCAAUCCCGACGUCGCCGUUAGGCGCCACCAACGCCGGGGACUGAGGCCCGUAAACCGGCUGGUGG